GACGAACGCUGGCGGCGUGCUUAACACAUGCAAGUCGAACGGAAAGGCCCUGCUUUUGUGGGGUGCUCGAGUGGCGAACGGGUGAGUAACACGUGAGUAACCUGCCCUUGACUUUGGGAUAACUUCAGGAAACUGGGGCUAAUACCGGAUAGGAGCUCCUGCUGCAUGGUGGGGGUUGGAAAGUUUCGGCGGUUGGGGAUGGACUCGCGGCUUAUCAGCUUGUUGGUGGGGUAGUGGCUUACCAAGGCUUUGACGGGUAGCCGGCCUGAGAGGGUGACCGGCCACAUUGGGACUGAGAUACGGACCAGACUGCUACGGGAGGCAGCAGUGGGGAAUAUUGCACAAUGGGCGGAAGCCUGAUGCAGCAACGCAGCGUGCGGGAUGACGGCCUUCGGGUUGUAAACCGCUUUCGCCUGUGACGAAGCGUGAGUGACGGUAAUGGGUAAAGAAGCACCGGCUAACUACGUG
rnacentral:rRNA from 1 species